UUUCAUUCCUUAAGUCGCUCCUCGCCUUGCUCAUCUCACCCCUCUCUCAAAUCCCUUCUUUCAUCCCUUAUUUCUCUCCAUCAAAAUCUCAAGUUGCUGUAUUUUCUUAUCCAUAUUCAUUUGUCUCAUCAUUUGCCUCAAGUCUCCAUCUAGUGCUUUUAUUUGGUCAAGUUUCAUUUUGAAAAAGAAGGGGCUGAAGCAAG
rnacentral:misc_RNA from 1 species